CCCUGCGUUGGUCUACCUACAUUUAACAUUAGUCGCGAUGGUGCAGCACUGUCUUUUGCUGCCUUAUUGCUCACCUUUUCGAGAUGCUGCUUGAACGUUAGUCUGGAGUUUAUGAUGAUUCCCAGAUACUUAAUGGUCGGUUAAAAGUCUAUUUCGUGUCCAUCCACUGUCAGUGUUAUUGUCUCCAUUUUCUUCCUACUAGAUAUGAAGAUUGCCUCCGUUUUAUGGCUAUCAAGCUCAAGUCCAAUCUGCUUAAGCCAAUUGUGGGUUAUAUCUAAUGCGCGCGCGCGUGUGUGUGUGAGCUCGGUGAUCUUCGUGGAUAUUCGUUGCGCACUCUCAGUACAUACUUUGUAUCUUGUAAACUUUUUACUGAAUGAGGAAACAUGUGACUAGAAACGUACCCAUCAGUUACUGUGAUAUUAAUUUGGAUGGAUGAUUUAUAUAUUGCACUGAUAAUAUUUAUACCUAGAAAAAUAUAAUAUUUUGUUUGUUAAAUAAAGUGUCGGAAUAUAAGGAUUUUCUAGACGCGAUUGGGAUAAGCUGAUACUUAAAUUAAGAUACACUUUACAAGAGGAGACCCCCCCCCCCCCGUCCCAGCCUGCAAAUAUAACAAUUAGUUAAUAAAAAAAUACCAGGCUAUAGAUAUUGAUUUGCCCUUUUAUUCUACGUAAGAAUUUCAAUUUGCCCCUUCUUAGUUUUCUCAGGAAAAAUAAAUUAAUAAUUCAAAUUUCAUCUCAACUUUAAAUAAUCGUAUCUCUUUAACCAAAACGUUUUUGAAAAUCUAAUGAACGUUAAAAAAUUGCCCUUACGUCGAUUCUAUUUGCCCGCUAGUCAAACAUGAAAAAUAUUUAUGCAUUAUAAUCUAAAAUAAUAAAAUAGUGUUGUGGAAUAUGAGCCUUUGAUUUUUUGCUAUACUCACGUAUAUGCGGUGUUGCCAAAUCGCCGCGCAAGCAGGACAACUGGACAACACAGCUUGACAGCUGGCAAUCAAUUGCAGGCAAUUUUCACGGGUCUUAUCAUCACAACUGCAAUUACAUUGCCCAUUCAUAUUGCAACAACAAAAUUGUCAAUAAAACGUUUGAAGGUUAACCUGGUUUUACACCAGUACCUGUUGCUCAUCCGGUUCAGGUUGUAUCAGGGAACAAACAAUAUUAUGCAGCAACAGCUUAUUCAAGAACAGAUAAACAAUCCUUGAAGAAAAAAAAAACGAUACUCUAUAUUUGUAUAUUUGUCAAUAAAGCUGUUUCUAUAAGAUAAUGUUUAUACAUUUUAGCAACAAGGGAAUUUUGCUCAAUUGGGCAGCGCUGUAGAAAAUUCAUCUGAUGACAAUGAUGAGAAGGAAGAAGAAAAUGACGAUGAUGAAGAUCUUAAUGAGAAAAAAGAAGAAGAGCAGGAAGAUGCUGGUCAAGAGAAGAAGUUAGUAUUUCCAUUAAUGCAACUACUUUGAUUCUCAAUCUUCAAUAAUCAAUGUAGAUGCUGUGCAAUGAAGUCUGUGAAUAGUUUAAUGCCAAGGAGGAAGCUGAAGUUCAUGCAGUGUUACUCAAUGGAGAUUCACAUAAUCAAUUAGCGAGUGCUUACCAUUUAAUUACAGACAAUAAAAUUGCAGAUGUAACA